rnacentral:rRNA from 1 species
UACGAAGGGGGCUAGCGUUGCUCGGAAUGGACUGGGCGUAAAGGGCGCGUAGGCGGCGCAUUUAGUCAGGCGUGAAAUUCCUGGGCUCAACCUGGGGACUGCGCUUGAUACGGGUGUGCUUGAGGAUGGAAGAGGCUCGCGGAAAUUCCCAGUGUAGAGGUGAAAUUCGUAGAUAUUGGGAAGAACACCGGUGGCGAAGGCGGCGAGCUGGUCCAUUACUGACGGCUGAGGCGC